AACGCGUGGGUAACCUGCCUCAUACAGGGGGAUAACAGUUAGAAAUGACUGCUAAUACCGCAUAAGCGCACAGUGUCGCAUGACCUGGUGUGAAAAACUCCGGUGGUAUGAGAUGGACCCGCGUCUGAUUAGCUGGUUGGUGAGGUAACGGCUCACCAAGGCGACGAUCAGUAGCCGACCUGAGAGGGUGAUCGGCCACAUUGGGACUGAGACACGGCCCAAACUCCUACGGGAGGCAGCAGUGGGGAAUAUUGCACAAUGGGGGAAACCCUGAUGCAGCGACGCCGCGUGAAGGAAGAAGUAUUUCGGUAUGUAAACUUCUAUCAGCAGGGAAGAAAAUGACGGUACCUGACUAAGAAGCCCCGGCUAACUACGUGCCAGCAGCCGCGGUAAUACGUAGGGGGCAAGCGUUAUCCGGAUUUACUGGGUGUAAAGGGAGCGUAGGCGGUCUGACAAGUCAGAAGUGAAAGCCCGGGGCUCAACUCCGGGACUGCUUUUGAAACUGCCGGACUAGAUUGCAGGAGAGGUAAGUGGAAUUCCUAGUGUAGCGGUGAAAUGCGUAGAUAUUAGGAGGAACACCAGUGGCGAAGGCGGCUUACUGG
rnacentral:rRNA from 1 species